rnacentral:rRNA from 1 species
UACGUAGGGUGCAAGCGUUGUCCGGAAUUAUUGGGCGUAAAGAGCUCGUAGGCGGUCUGUUGCGUCCGCUGUGAAAACCCGGGGCUUAACCCUGGGCUGGCAGUGGAUACGGACAGACUAGAGGUAGGUAGGGGAGAAUGGAAUUCCCGGUGUAGCGGUGAAAUGCGCAGAUAUCAGGAGGAACACCGGUGGCGAAGGCGGCUUGCUGGGCCAGUUCUGACGCUGAGGAGCGAAAGCGUGGGGAGCGAACAGG